rnacentral:misc_RNA from 1 species
GCUCCGUUGGUGAACCAGCGGAGGGAUCAUUACUGGAAUCGCAAGAUCCCACAACCCUGUGAACCUACCGAAACGUUGCCUCGGCGGGUGCCCGGCCUCUGCGCCGGGCGCUGCGCCCGCCGGCGGCCCCCUACUCUGUCUCUGCAGCGUGGCAUCUCAGAGUCCCAGAAAACAAGUCAAAACUUUCAACAACGGAUCUCUUGGCUCUA